rnacentral:rRNA from 1 species
GACGAACGCUGGCGGCGUGCCUAAUACAUGCAAGUCGAGCGAACGGACGAGAAGCUUGCUUCUCUGAUGUUAGCGGCGGACGGGUGAGUAACACGUGGAUACCCUACCUAUAAGACUGGGAUAACUUCGGGAAACCGGAGCUUAUCCCGGAUAAUAUUUUGAACCGCAUUGUUCAAAAGUGAAUGACGGUGUUGCUGUCACGUAUAGAUGGAUCCGCGCUGCAUUAGCUAGUUGGUAAGGUAACGGCUUACCAAGGCAACGAUGCAUAGCCGACCUGAGAGGGUGAUCGGCCACACUGGAACUGAGACACGGUCCAGACUCCUACGAGAGGGAGCAGUAGGGAAUCUGCCGCAAUGGGCGAAAGCAUGACGGAGCAACGCCGCGUGAGUGAUGAAGGUCUUCGGAUCGUAAAACUCUGUUAUUAGGGAAGAACAUAUGUGUAAGUAACUGUGCACAUCUUGACGGUACCUAAUCAGAAAGCCACGGCUAACUACGUG